rnacentral:rRNA from 1 species
UACGUAGGGCGCAAGCGUUGUCCGGAAUUAUUGGGCGUAAAGAGCUCGUAGGCGGCUUGUCACGUCGGGUGUGAAAGCCCGGGGCUUAACCCCGGGUCUGCAUUCGAUACGUGCAGGCUAGAGUGUGGUAGGGGAGAUCGGAAUUCCUGGUGUAGCGGUGAAAUGCGCAGAUAUCAGGAGGAACACCGGUGGCGAAGGCGGAUCUCUGGGGCUAACUUGACGCUGAGACGCGAAAGCUGGGGGAGCGAACGGG